rnacentral:rRNA from 1 species
GAUGAACGCUAGCGAUAGGCCUAACACAUGCAAGUCGAGGGGCAUCACAUGAAGUAGCAAUACGGAUGGUGGCGACCGGCGCACGGGUGAGUAACACGUAUGCAACCUGCCUUCAACAAGGGGAUAACCCGUUGAAAGACGGACUAAUACCCUAUAACACAGGGGUCCCGCAUGGGGAAUAUUUGUUAAAGGACAACCGGUUGAAGAUGGGCAUGCGUUCCAUUAGCUAGUUGGCGGGGUAACGGCCCACCAAGGCAACGAUGGAUAGGGGAACUGAGAGGUUUAUCCCCCACACUGGUACUGAGACACGGACCAGACUCCUACGGGAGGCAGCAGUGAGGAAUAUUGGUCAAUGGACGCAAGUCUGAACCAGCCACGUCGCGUGAAGGAAGACGGCCCUACGGGUUGUAAACUUCUUUUAUACGGGAAUAAAGUGCCCCACGCGUGGGGUUUUGCAUGUACCGUAUGAAUAAGG